UGUUUUCAGGGUGAUUUGCUUGUGGAACUUAAAUAAAGUAAUUCAAGCUUCGCGUUCAAAUUGCUUAGUACUUCCGAUUAAUUUAUUAAAUUGUGGGCCUGAGCAAAUUGCUUUGAAGAUGCCGGCAUUUGCGAUGCUUUGAUGUGUAUGCAGCGCCGGCUAGGAGGAUUCAAUACAAUUAAUAUACAAAACUAAGCAACGAUUGUUUUCCAUACUUAUAGCGAUUAUCAGAGGAAAAAGAGGAUAAACGGUUAGUUAAUUUACUACCUGAAGAAAGGUUAGCUGAAAAACUACGCUGGAAAUAGUCACAAAAUAAAAAGUCGCCACAUUUCCCACAGUUCAUUGAAGAUUUACUUCGUAGCUUAUGUGUGAAUUGUAAAUUCUUAAUCUGUCACGGGCAUGCAUAAGGUGAAAUUGAAUGUUGAGAGUGAAGUUUGGACGCGGAAAAGUUUAAAAUAGAGAAACAUAACGCAAAAAAACUUCGAAACAAUGGAAAAAUUAAAGUCUCACUGCGUACAGAAAGUGAUAUAUUAUAUGAUAUUGAUGGCUAUCAGAAAUACACCUUGGCUGGCUGCUAACGACUAUGAUGACUUCAGUUGAGAAGCGCAUACCAUAUUGAAUAAAAAAUGUUUGCUUCAUGUUUUUUGUGUAAAAUCAAUCGCUAUGAUUUACAUCUAAAACUGUACACUUAAAAAUUCUGGAUAACAAAUUUCUAACAUGCUUGUGAAUUCAUUUUAUAUAAUUAUUCUUUAUUAAAUAUGUAUACAAGAAAAAAAAUAUAUUUAUUUUACACUUUGUGAAAUCGAUGAUGAAUGAGAAUUUUAAAUUUUUUU